UACGUAGGGUGCAAGCGUUGUCCGGAAUCAUUGGGCGUAAAGCGCGCGUAGGUGGCUUCGUAAGUCCGUUGUGAAAGUCAAAGGCUCAACCUUUGAAUGCCGAUGGAUACUGCGGGGCUAGAGUACGGAAGAGGCGAGUGGAAUUCCUGGUGUAGCGGUGGAAUGCGCAGAUAUCAGGAGGAACACCAAUAGCGAAGGCAGCUCGCUGGGACGUUACUGACACUAAGGCGCGAAAGCGUGGGGAGCGAACAGG
rnacentral:rRNA from 1 species